rnacentral:rRNA from 1 species
ACGGGUGAGUAAUACAUCGGAACGUAUCCUGGAGUGGGGGAUAGCCCGGCGAAAGCCGGAUUAAUACCGCAUACGCUCUGAGGAGGAAAGCGGGGGACCUUCGGGCCUCACGCUCAAGGGGCGGCCGAUGGCGGAUUAGGUAGUUGGUGGGGUAAAGGCCUACCAAGCCGACGAUCCGUAGCUGGUCUGAGAGGACGACCAGCCACACUGGGACUGAGACACGGCCCAGACUCCUACGGGAGGCAGCAGUGGGGAAUUUUGGACAAUGGGGGCAACCCUGAUCCAGCAAUGCCGCGUGUGUGAAGAAGGCCUUCGGGUUGUAAAGCACUUUUGUCCGGAAAGAAAUCAUCGGGGCCAAUACCCCUGGUGGAUGACGGUACCGGAAGAAUAAGCACCGGCUAACUACGUGCCAGCAGCCGCGGUAAUACGUAGGGUGCGAGCGUUAAUCGGAAUUACUGGGCGUAAAGCGUGCGCAGGCGGUGCUGUAAGACCGAUGUGAAAUCCCCGGGCUUAACCUGGGAACUGCAUUGGUGACUGCAGCGCUGGAGUAUGGCAGAGGGGGGUGGAAUUCCACGU